rnacentral:RNase_P_RNA from 1 species
GUGGACGGCCGGACGGCCGCCCUCGAACCUUCGGGUUCGGGGGAGGAAAGUCCGGGCUCCACGGGGACACGGUGCCGGGUAACGCCCGGCGGGGGCGACCCCAGGGACAGUGCCACAGAGAGCAGACCACCCGCCGGAAGGGGCGACCCUUUGCGGGCCAGGGUGAAAGGGUGCGGCAAGAGCGCACCGCGGACCCGGCGACGGGGACGGCACGGCAAACCCCACCGGGAGCAAGACCGCAUAGGAGCGGCGGCGCUUCGGCGCGGCCCCGUCCCCGGGGCGACCGCUCGGGUUGGUCGCAGGAGGCGGGCGGCGACGCCCGUCCCAGACGAAUGGCCGUCGCCGGGUCCCAAGGGACCCGGUACAGAACCCGGCUUACAGGCCGUCCACGCCU